AAAGAAUCAAAUCCCAUCUCACCAUCCUGGCAGAAUGGAUUAAAGUGAACCACAGUGUGUUUGUGCUCAGAAACCUGCCCUGGUGUCCUUUGGCUGCUGGAGAAAAAAAGACUUGCAGGGGAGUAAAACUGUUUAGAGUGCAAUUCUCCUGGACAGAAGCAGCUGGAAUCUUUGUGUUAACUCUGAGGAAUGGAAGCCCCAAGGCACACAGUUCUUGCUUUAUUAACUGGGACGUAGUUUAAAGCCAAAUUUCACCUUUCCCAUCAUUAAGGAAGAUGAAGGAGGGCACCAUGACAAUGGUCUGCACCACAUGCCCCCUGCUCAGACACAUAAUGGGGCUGGGGAGGCUUUUCUGUGGAAACACUCUGGUCCUGGAUUGAAAUCCUGCCCAGCUCCCUUGGAAUGAGAUACAAAGGCGGAUAAAGAAAUCUGGAUCACAGUGAUAAGCUCCUGAAGGGAGGACCAGGCCCAGCAGUGUGAAAAGCAGUGGUGUUAUGUAUUUUUUGACCUCCUGACCUGCCUGGAGUCCCUGAGCCCCUCAGACAGUGGGAAACCCCACGGGCUGGUUUGAGCCACAUCACGAGGAACCGUCGGCACCUUCCCCGUGACUGAUGUUGCAUUGCCACUGCU